rnacentral:lncRNA from 1 species
AAAAGUUGGAAGUCAAAAAAUUCCUAACACUUUCAAUGCAGAGAAAUCGAAAGCGCCUUUAGGCAUCCACGUCUCAGCAAAUGCCCUUCCAAGGUGCCUAGCUGGGGGUGUGUGGGGUGGUGGGUCUUCUCACCUUUAGUCUGCUGUCUUCAGCAGAGUAGUUAAAAUCGUGGUGAAGAAGAAAAAGAAGGGAGGCAGAGGAAGAAGAAAAGGAAGAACUAAGAAAAGAGAGUGAGAAAGAAGGAAAGAAAGAUAAAAAAGUGACUGAAGGAGAUUUCCAUUCCAGGGCGCUGUGUACUACUACCUGGAGCAAGCAGGAACAAGCUUAGUCCAGGCUCCUGCGGACUGCUGACUUCCGCGCGUCCCUCAGCUUUGGGCCCCCGGGGGCCGCACGCCUCUGUUCCCGGAUGGAGCAGCCCGUGCCGCGCGGCUUGGCAGACCCCGGGAGCGCGGCCGCCCGUCAGGAUGCUCGCCGCCCCGCCCCGCCCCGCCCCGCCCGCGCCGCGCCUCAGCCCAUUUGCAGCGCGGGACGCCACCUGCGGCCGCGCGCCUAAUGCAGCCUUCCAGGGCCAGCGCCACCGCGAGGGCCCGCCGCCCCACCCGCGUUCCCCCUUCCUUCCCCUUUCAAGAACCACCGACGAGUGGGUGACAUUUUAAAAAAGAAGAAAUAAUAAAAAUUUUUGGCUGGACAUCAUAAAAAUUAAUUGUGAGUUUUGCAAGUCAACACAACUUUAGAACUCAGCCUAAGGUCCAUCAGCCUAUCUAGGUCCAGCCCAGUUGUAGCCUCAAACCAGACUGACGAGGGCUGAAUCAACCCUGAGGUGUUCCACUGAGCCUCUCCCCAAGAUUCCUUGGAACUUUCACGGGCCUCAUGAAGCCCACAGUGGCAAACUUCUCUGUUGUCUAGGGCUCCCCAAUCCCAGUCUCCCACUCCCUGCCUCUGGAAUGACCUGCUUGCUGUUUGAAGAUGUGAUCUAGCAUUUUUAUGCUAGCGUUUUGAGUACAGUUUGGAGGUACCAAUGCUAUUCCUGAAUUUUUCUGAUAAAAGUUAAGUGUUAAUAUACCCAUACUUUCAACUCAUCUGACUGCUUCUCCUGGGUGAACCAUUUAGGACAUUUCUGUGUGUACAAAAGCACUACUGCUAUUCUAGAGGGCAGCAUUCUGGUGCCAUUUAUUUUUAGAGAUUUUGUAUUUUGUAAUUAUUUAUUUGUUCAUGUAUUUAUCACAUCUUGCAUUAAACUGCCAGCUCUGUGAAGCACGG